CUUCAACACAACAGAAACCACGACAACCAUGACUCUGAUCACCAUCUUCAUCUGGACACUGGUCUGCUGCUGCCUCAAAGGAUCCAGAGGUCAGGUGACUGUGACUCAGCCUCCUGUAGUGACAUUUUCUCCAGGAGACCCCGUCACUCUGACCUGUACAACCAACCCUAAAGUGCGCAAAUGGGAUAAUGGAAAUGAGGGUGCGUACUGGUAUCUACAGAGGCCUGGAGAAGCUCCUAAACUCCUGAUAAAAUACGUAAAGACACGGCUAGAUGGGAUUCCUGCUAGAUUCAGUGGCAGUGGGUCUGAGAGCGACUUCACACUGACCAUCAGUGGAGUCCAGGCUGAAGAUGCAGCAGUUUACUACUGUAAGAGUUACCACUAUCUCAACAGUAAAAGUAUCUUCACACAGUGA